rnacentral:rRNA from 1 species
GAGUUUGAUCCUGGCUCAGGAUGAACGCUAGCGGCAGGCUUAACACAUGCAAGUCGAGGGGUAACGGGGAAGCUUGCUUCCGCCGACGACCGGCGCACGGGUGCGUAACGCGUAUACAAUCUACCUUGUACUGGGGUAUAGCCUUUAGAAAUGAAGAUUAACCCCCCAUAGUCUCUUAGAGUGGCAUCACUUCUAGAGUAAAGGUUACGGUAUAAGAUGAGUAUGCGUUCUAUUAGUUUGUUGGUGUGGUAACGGCACACCAAGACUACGAUAGAUAGGGGCCCUGAGAGGGGGAUCCCCCACACUGGUACUGAGACACGGACCAGACUCCUACGGGAGGCAGCAGUGAGGAAUAUUGGGCAAUGGAGGCAACUCUGACCCAGCCAUGCCGCGUGCAGGAAGACUGCCCUAUGGGUUGUAAACUGCUUUUAUACAGGAAGAAACACCUCUACGUGUAGAGGCUUGACGGUACUGUAAGAAUAAGGAUCGGCUAACUCCGUGCCAGCAGCCGCGGUAAUACGGAGGAUCCAAGCGUUAUCCGGAAUCAUUGGGUUUAAAGGGUCCGUAGGUGGAUAAUUAAGUCAGAGGUGAAAUCUUGCAGCUCAACUGUAAAAUUGCCUUUGAAACUGGUUAUCUUGAGUUAUUAUGAAGUAGUUAGAAUAUGUAGUGUAGCGGUGAAAUGCAUAGAUAUUACAUAGAAUACCAAUUGCGAAGGCAGAUUACUAAUAAUCAACUGACACUGAUGGACGAAAGCGUGGGUAGCGAACAGGAUUAGAUACCCUGGUAGUCCACGCCGUAAACGAUGGUUACUAGCUGUUUGGACUUCGGUCUGAGUGGCUAAGCGAAAGUGAUAAGUAACCCACCUGGGGAGUACGUUCGCAAGAAUGAAACUCAAAGGAAUUGACGGGGGCCCGCACAAGCGGUGGAGCAUGUGGUUUAAUUCGAUGAUACGCGAGGAACCUUACCAGGGCUUAAAUGUAGGUUGCAUUAGCUAGAGAUAGCUAUUUCUUCGGACUACUUACAAGGUGCUGCAUGGUUGUCGUCAGCUCGUGCCGUGAGGUGUCAGGUUAAGUCCUAUAACGAGCGCAACCCCUGUUGUUAGUUGCCAGCGAGUCAUGUCGGGAACUCUAGCAAGACUGCCAGUGCAAACUGUGAGGAAGGUGGGGAUGACGUCAAAUCAUCACGGCCCUUACGUCCUGGGCUACACA